GAUGAACGUUGGCGGCGUGCCUAAUACAUGCAAGUCGAACGAAGACUGUAGUAAUACUGUCUUAGUGGCGAAACGGGUGAGUAACGCGUGGGUGACCUGCCCCGAAGUGUGGGAUAACAGUUCGAAAGGAUUGCUAAUACUGCAUAAUAUCCAAGAGAUUAGACGCUUUUGGAUUAAAGGAGUAAUUCGCUUCGGGAGGGGCCCGCGUCCCAUCAGCUAGUUGGUAAGGUAAUGGCUUACCAAGGCGAUGACGGGUAGGGGACCUGAGAGGGUGGCCCCCCACAAUGGAACUGAAACACGGUCCAUACACCUACGGGUGGCAGCAGUGGGGAAUAUUAGUAAUGGGCGAAAGCCUGAACUAGCAACGCCGCGUGUGCGAAGAAGGCCUUCGGGUUGUAAAGCACUUUUUGAGAGGAUGAGGAAGGACGGUACUCUCAGAAUAAGUCUCGGCUAACUACGUG
rnacentral:rRNA from 1 species